rnacentral:rRNA from 1 species
GACGAACCGUGCGAACGUUGUUCGGAAUCACUGGGCAUAAAGGGCGCGUAGGCGGCUUGUCAAGUCCGGGGUGAAAUCCGGCAGCUUAACUGUCGAAGUGCCUUUGAUACUGAUGAGCUCGAGGGAGGUAGGGGUAUGCGGAACUUCCGGUGGAGCGGUGAAAUGCGUUGAUAUCGGAAGGAACGCCGGUGGCGAAAGCGGCGUACUGGACCUCUUCUGACGCUGAGGCGCGAAAGCUAGGGGAGCAAACGGG